UACGUAGGGGGCUAGCGUUGUCCGGAAUCAUUGGGCGUAAAGAGCGUGUAGGCGGUCCGGUAAGUCCGCUGUGAAAGUCGGGGGCUCAACCCUCGAAUGCCGGUGGAUACUGUCGGGCUAGAGUGCGGAAGAGGCGAGUGGAAUUCCUGGUGUAGCGGUGAAAUGCGCAGAUAUCAGGAGGAACACCGGUGGCGAAGGCGGGUCUCUGGGCCGAAACUGACGCUGAGGAGCGAAAGCGUGGGGAGCAAACAGG
rnacentral:rRNA from 1 species